rnacentral:rRNA from 1 species
AUGUCUCCCGUGGCCUCGGCAACAUCACGGGGAGGUUCAGGUUUCAGCAUGAAAGUUCAGAGGCCGACUUGUUGUGGUAUAUCAAGUUCAGGUCAGUCAGAUACUGUAGGAAAUGAACAUGUCAAGCUUUCUACUAAACCACAACAGGCUGAUAGAAGUCAUGACAGAUAUGAAAUCCACAAAAUCGAUGGCAUAAUCCCAGGGACAGUCAGAAAAUCCAUCAUCAGCCCUCAAGGUUCAGAGUUACACCGACUAAACGCUACUACAAAUCACGUUGGGUGGGUAGAUCAACCUCAUGCAGCAGCCGACUUGCGCAGCUCGUUCUCGCCAUGGGCAAAGUGGCAUCUGUCGCCAAACGUGCACGAUCCUUUCGUGAAGUUGUCACACAGCUUGGUCUUGAAAUUGCUUCCGCGGUGA